GAAAGCAAAAUCGAGAAAUUGAAAAAUCGGGAAAUCGGGAAAUCGAGAAAUCGAGAGAAAGCAAAAACGCAAAAACAGGAAAGCGAAAACACAAAUUUAAAGCGAAAACACAAAAACGAAAACGCGAAAUGAAUUUCUUGAUUUCGCGUUUUUGCUUUCUCGAUUUCCCGAUUUCCCAAUUUCUCGAUUUCCCGAUUUCCCGAUUUCCCGAUUU
rnacentral:sRNA from 1 species